rfam:Myotis brandtii contig320464, whole genome shotgun sequence.
GGUGGUUCUUGGGUGAAGCACUCCUGAAGCGGGCUCCAUCCUUUCUGGUUCUGGGUUCAUCACCCAAGAACCGCA